rnacentral:misc_RNA from 1 species
GAAGCAAAAGUCGUAACAAGGUUUCCGUAGGUGAACCUGCGGAAGGAUCAUUAUUGUAUAACCGAGGUGCGAGGGCUGUCGCUGACCCGAAAGGUCGUGCACGCCCGAGUGCCCUCACACACAUCCAUCUCACCCCUAUGUGCACCACCGCGUGGGUCCCCCUUUGGCUUGUUCGGAGGGGGGCUUACGUUUUCACACAAACUUUGUAUGCAGUGUAGAAUGUAUUUUUAGUUUCUGCGAUCACGCAAUCAAUACAACUUUCAACAACGGAUCUCUUGGCUCUC